AUUGAACGCUGGCGGCAGGCCUAACACAUGCAAGUCGAGCGAGCGGCGGACGGGUGAGUAAUGUCUGGGGAUCUGCCCGAUAGAGGGGGAUAACUACUGGAAACGGUGGCUAAUACCGCAUACCAUCGGAUGAACCCAUAGGGGAUUAGCUAGUAGGUGGGGUAAAGGCUCACCAAGGCGACGAUCUCUCGCUGGUCUUUGAGGAGGAUCAUCGAAAUGGGGACUGAGACACGGCCCGUCGUCCUACGGGAGGCAGCAUUGGGGAAGAUUGCACUAUGGGCGCAAGCCUGAUGCAGCCAUGCCGCGUGUAUGAAGAAGGCCUUAGGGUUGUAAAGUACUUGCAGCGGGGAGGCGGUACCCGCAGAAGAAGCACCGGCUAACUCCGUGCCAGCAGCCGCGGUAAUAC
rnacentral:rRNA from 1 species